UUAUGGAACUAAAUUAUAUGGAUUUAUGGAACUAAAAUCAAAUUAAAUAUGGAUUGAUAAUAUGGAUAAAAAAUAUGGAUUUAUGGAACUAAAAUCAAAUCAAAGUGUUGUUUACAUUUUUGGAGUUGUACAACUUGUACUCAGUAGAAUACACUAGAUGUUAAAGUUUCAUUUACUUGGUUCCCUUUGUAAAAACAACACUACAACUUACAUGCACCAACAUCCGAUUUGUUGCAAGUUGAAACCAGUUUUAUUGCCUGAUAUAUUUUACUCUGCCAACAAGUCUUAAUAACUAAGGGGCUAUUUACAUGAGCCCGACUAGUCCUGUUAACCGAGGCACCCAGCUUAAUACAAAUCAUUUAACAAGAAUCUGCCUAGCCGAGAUCUCACUUCAGUCAAAUGGGAUGCCCGGAUAACCGGGCUGAAAUUUCUCCAUGUAAAGUCACCAGCUCAGGUAACCUCCUGGCUAGCCAGGCCUUCAGCCUGGUUAACCGGGCCAGCCUGCAUGGCUAGCCGGGCUCAUGUAAACAGCCCCUAAGGUGAUAGCAACAAUAAUAUACUUGGUGCUAAAUGUAACAUAAACUUGAGUAACAGAGAAAAUUCUCAUAUUCAGAUUAUUUUCCCCUCAUUGUAGAGUAAACUGUUAAUAUGUAUCUUAAAAACUAGAGUGUAUAUUAGAAUCUCACAGAUUUAUAAUUUAAACUGUCGUUAAGAUAAAUCAGGUCUCUUAUUGUCUGUUUUGUAAAUGAAGUUCCCUGAUUCAUCCAAGCAUUGAUCUUUAAACUAUUUUUCCAAUAUCAAUGAACAGUCAUGAUAAUGUCAUAGGAGGCCUUGUCACUUGUGAUACCAAAUUUGUAAAGCCACAGCCAAAGGAUUUCAAUAGGAUUUCAAUAAGUAGGUCCAGCAAUUUCUUUCAUAUCGCAAUAUUAUUUUAUAUUAAACGAUUGUAGGCCAAUAUGCCAAGUUGAAUUACACUGUAUUGAAUAGGUGAUCCCAGAUUCACAGAAGGUUCGAUGAACUCGAUUUAUUUCCUUCAUUGUUCAUGGCAUUCACGUCCUUAAUCCUUUUGUACACCAUGAAAUAUCACCAACCUAUCACUCAAAACAUAUUUUACGGCGAUCGGACUAACCACACAUAAGCUAUAUAACUUUAUAUGUUUAUCACUAUUCG